ACGAACGCUGGCGGCGUGCUUAACACCUGCAAGUCGAACGGAAAGGCCUCAGCUUGCUGGGGUACUCGAGUGGCGAACGGGUGAGUAACACGUGGGUGAUCUGCCUUGCACUCUGGGAUAAGCUUGGGAAACUGGGUCUAAUACCGGAUAUGAACUGCCUUUAGUGUGGUGGUUGGAAAGUUUUUUCGGUGCAAGAUGAGCUCGCGGCCUAUCAGCUUGUUGGUGGGGUAAUGGCCUACCAAGGUGUCGACGGGUAGCCGGCCUGAGAGGGUGUACGGCCACAUUGGGACUGAGAUACGGCCCAGACUCCUACGGGAGGCAGCAGUGGGGAAUAUUGCACAAUGGGCGGAAGCCUGAUGCAGCGACGCCGCGUGGGGGAUGACGGCCUUCGGGUUGUAAACUCCUUUCGACAGGGACGAAGCUUUUUGUGACGGUACCUGUAUAAGAAGCACCGGCUAACUACGUG
rnacentral:rRNA from 1 species